GACGAACGCUGGCGGCGUGCUUAACACAUGCAAGUCGAGCGGAAAGGCCCUUUCGGGGGUAUUCGAGCGGCGAACGGGUGAGUAACACGUGAGUAAUCUGCCCCUGGCUUUGGGAUAGCCACCGGAAACGGUGAUUAAUACCGGAUACGACCACUUCUCGCAUGGGAUGGUGGUGGAAAGUUUUUCGGCCAGGGAUGUGCUCGCGGCCUAUCAGCUUGAUGGUGAGGUAAUGGCUCACCAUGGCUUCGACGGGUAGCCGGCCUGAGAGGGUGACCGGUCACACUGGGACUGAGACACGGCCCAGACUCCUACGGGAGGCAGCAGUGGGGAAUAUUGGACAAUGGGCGGAAGCCUGAUCCAGCAACGCCGCGUGAGGGAUGACGGCCUUCGGGUUGUAAACCUCUUUCAGCAGGGACGAAGCGCAAGUGAUGGUACCUGCAGAAGAAGCACCGGCCAACUACGUGCCAGCAGCCGCCGCAG
rnacentral:rRNA from 1 species